UACGGGGGGAGCAAGCGUUGUUCGGAUUUACUGGGCGUAAAGGGCGCGUAGGCGGCCAGCACAAGUCAGUUGUGAAAUCUCCGAGCUUAACUCGGAAAGGUCAACUGAUACUGUGCGGCUAGAGUGCGGAAGGGGCAACUGGAAUUCUUGGUGUAGCGGUGAAAUGCGUAGAUAUCUGGAGGAACACCGGUGGCGAAGGCGGCAUCCUGGACCAACACUGACGCUGAGUGAGCGAAAGCCAGGGGAGCAAACGGG
rnacentral:rRNA from 1 species